UACGAAGGGUGCAAACGUUGCUCGGAAUCAUUGGGCGUAAAGCGCACGUAGGCGGCUUCGCAAGUCGGAUGUGAAAUCCCUCGGCUCAACCGAGGACGUGCAUACGAAACUGCGGAGCUUGAGUGCUGAAGAGGAUCGCGGAAUUCCCGGUGUAGAGGUGAAAUUCGUAGAUAUUCGGAAGAACACCAGUGGCGAAGGCGACUCACUGGACACAUAUUGACGCUGAGGUGCGAAAGCGUGGGGAGCAAACAGG
rnacentral:rRNA from 1 species